AACGAACGCUGGCGGCAUGCCUAACACAUGCAAGUCGAACGAAGCCUUCGGGCUUAGUGGCGCGCGGGUGCGUAACGCGUGGGAAUCUGCCCUUGGGUUCGGAAUAACAGUUAGAAAUGACUGCUAAUACCGGAUGGUGUCUUCGGACCAAAGAUUUAUCGCCCAAGGAUGAGCACGCGUAGGAUUAGGUAGUUGGUGGGGUAAUGGCCCACCAAGCCGACGAUGCUUAGCUGGACUGAGAGGAUGAUCAGCCACACUGGGACUGAGACACGGCCCAGACUCCUACGGGAGGCAGCAGUGGGGAAUAUUGGACAAUGGGCGAAAGCCUGAUCCAGCAAUGCCGCGUGAGUGAUGAAGGCCUUAGGGUUGUAAAGCUCUUUUACCAGGGAUGAUAAUGACAGUACCUGGAGAAUAAGCUCCGGCUAACUCCGUGCCAGCCGCCGCCGUAA
rnacentral:rRNA from 1 species